rnacentral:rRNA from 1 species
AUAUCAAUAAGCGGAGGAAAAGAAACUAACAAGGAUUCCCCUAGUAACUGCGAGUGAAGCGGGAAAAGCUCAAAUUUAAAAUCUGGCGGCUUCACCGUCCGAGUUGUAAUUUGCAGAGGAAGCAUUAUCCGCGCCGGACCGUACACAAGUCUCUUGGAACGGGGCGCCAUAGAGGGUGAGAAUCCCGUAUGGUCGGACGCCUAGCCUGUGUAAAGCUCCUUCGAAGAGUCGAGUAGUUUGGGAAUGCUGCUCAAAAUGGGAGGUAAAUUCCAUCUAAAGCUAAAUACCGGCCAGAGACCGAUAGCGCACAAGUAGAGAGAUCGAAAGAUGAAAAGAACUUUGAAAAGAGGGUUAAAUAGCACGUGAAAUUGUUGAAAGGGAAACGCUUGUGUCCAGACUUGCGCCCGGCUGAUCAUCCGGUGUUCUCUCCGGUGCACUCUGCCGGGCUCAGUCCAGCAUCGGUUCUCGCGGGGGGAUAAUAGAUACCAGGGAACGUGGCUCCUCCGGGAGUGUUAUAGACCUGGGCGCAAUGCACUCGCGGGGACCGAGGUCUCGCGCAUCUGCAAGGAUGCUGGCGUAAUGGUCAUCAGCGA